rnacentral:rRNA from 1 species
GAUGAACGCUGGCGGCGUGCCUAAUACAUGCAAGUCGAGCGAACAGACGAGGAGCUUGCUCCUCUGACGUUAGCGGCGGACGGGUGAGUAACACGUGGAUAACCUACCUAUAAGACUGGGAUAACUUCGGGAAACCGGAGCUAAUACCGGAUAAUAUAUUGAACCGCAUGGUUCAAUAGUGAAAGACGGUUUUGCUGUCACUUAUAGAUGGAUCCGCGCCGCAUUAGCUAGUUGGUAAGGUAACGGCUUACCAAGGCAACGAUGCGUAGCCGACCUGAGAGGGUGAUCGGCCACACUGGAACUGAGACACGGUCCAGACUCCUACGGGAGGCAGCAGUAGGGACUCUUCCGCAAUGGGCGAAAGCCUGACGGAGCAACGCCGCGUGAGUGAUGAAGGUCUUCGGAUCUUAAAACUCUGUUAUUAGGGAAGAACAAAUGUGUAAGUAACUAUGCACGUCUUGACGGUACCUAAUCAGAAAGCCACGGCUAACUACGUG